GCGGAAGUGGUGGAACUGGCAGACACGCUAUCUUGAGGGGGUAGUGGGGUAACCCGUGGGGGUUCAAGUCCCCCCUUCCGCA
rnacentral:tRNA from 1 species